UGACGCCCGUCAUGGAGAAGGCGGCGGGCGCCGACGAUGAGUGCGUGGACUCGGGGGCUGAGACGGGCGGGUCUGAGUACAGCCGUAUGUCCUCUACUAGCAGAUUUCACAAAUUAUGGGCAUCCCACAGAGAUCCAUUUUAAGGAACAGAAGCUACACUGAAGCUAGAAACUGCUUGGCUCAUAGCAAAUCUCACAACGGUGAGAGAAGGGGAAGAGGAGAAGAAAUAUAGGAGAGAACUAUUAAGGCGAAUCCCUGCUUUUAUAAAGUAGUCUUUACUGUAUUAAUUUAUAUGGGAUAGUGCC
rnacentral:lncRNA from 1 species